rnacentral:rRNA from 1 species
AUUGAACGCUGGCGGCAUGCCUUACACAUGCAAGUCGAACGGCAGCACGGGUGCUUGCACCUGGUGGCGAGUGGCGAACGGGUGAGUAAUACAUCGGAACAUGUCCUGUAGUGGGGGAUAGCCCGGCGAAAGCCGGAUUAAUACCGCAUACGAUCUACGGAUGAAAGCGGGGGCCCUUCGGGCCUCGCGCUAUAGGGUUGGCCGAUGGCUGAUUAGCUAGUUGGUGGGGUAAAGGCCUACCAAGGCCACGAUCAGUAGCUGGUCUGAGAGGACGACCAGCCACACUGGGACUGAGACACGGCCCAGACUCCUACGGGAGGCAGCAGUAGGGAAUUUUGGGCAAUGGGCGAAAGCCUGAUCCAGCAAUGCCGCGUGUGUGAAGAAGGCCUUCGGGUUGUAAAGCACUGUUGUCCGGAAAGAAAUACUUGGCACUAAUACGGUCGGGGGAUGACGGUACCGGAAGAGUAAGCACCGGCUAACUACGUG